rnacentral:rRNA from 1 species
AGUGCUAGGAUUACCACCCUGAAGGUGCCCAAUCUCGUCUGAUCUUGGAAGCUAAGCAGGGUCGGGCCAGUUAGUACUUGGAUGGGAGUCCAAAGGCUUUUAAAUGCAUGGCUCGGAAGUU